UCCGGAGGGUAGACGAGCCUGCUGGGAUACUCCCGGAUGACUGCGAAAGGCAGUGGGCGGGCUCCGCCGUUCCGCGGCACGCCGGGAAGAGGUCACUUCCAAGGGAAGGUUCCGGUUCCGGCGUAGGCGGUGGUUGAGUUGCCGUGGCAACGCGGUAACCCGGCUCUGGGUUUCCGCGUUAGGGGCGGCGGCGGGGCUGGAGCCGGCCUGUGCCCGCCUUUCCCAGCCUGGGUGAGCGACGCCGGUACCUCCGUGCGGCCGCGGCGGAAAGCCGCCGUUCGUGGUGGGAGCGGGGCCGGGGCCGGGCGCUGGGGGCCGGGGCGCCCGCGUCGAAGCGGGCGGCCACGUGUCCCGGCUGUGCCUUGGCCGCGCUGCCCGCGUGGGAGCCGAGGCCCGGACCCGGCCCGGCGGCGCCCGCCUCUGGCGUUCAAUUAUAUCUCGAAAAUAACUUUUAAAAUUGUGUAACGUGCUCUCGUGUGCAUAUCCCUUCCGGGUUUGGGGCUUCGUGGACUUUGCAGCCCGCCUCAGUCCUUUGUUGCCCAGGGAGCCACGAGGGAAUUGGUUCCCUGGACAGACGUUUUCUGAGCGGGUGCUGCGAGCUAGGCACGGUGCCUGCGCGGGAUGCCGGGACUUGGUGCCCAGAGCUCGUCAGCGGGAGAAGUGAGAAGCAGCUUCAUGGAUUCCAGGUAAAUCGGAGGCACAAGCAUCAUGAACAGAAGUAUGUACAGGAAAUGCCGUGGUGCUGAAGCCUAAGCGAUGUUGCAGAAGUCCAGGACCUGGUGCGCUUACCAGUUGGGAAUGUAUUAUUUCCCAAAUCACCUAAUUUUUCCUCAUGCUUAUAGGAGAAAAAUUCGCAGACUUCUCUUCUGAGGAUCCAGGGACGUAGAAAAAUAACGCGAGGUGACACAUCUCGUACCUAGUAUGUAGCAUUGGCUUGGAAGCUUAGUUGUCUUUCUUACUGUCAGAUGUUUUAUUGAGAACACAGCUGUCAUCAUAAGAUUACAAGUAAACCCUGAGCAGGAAGAAUACCCAGCCUGCGUUCUUGGAACUUACAAUCAAAUAAAUCUUUCGCCUUCUCAAACCACCAUUGAGGGCGCUUGGGUGGCUCAGUCAGUUGAGCGUCUGACUUGAUUUCAGCUCCUGUCACGAUCUCUCGCUCUGUGGGUUCGAGCCCCACGUU